CCUGGCGGCCGUAGCGCGGUGGUCCCACCUGACCCCAUGCCGAACUCAGAAGUGAAACGCCGUAGCGCCGAUGGUAGUGUGG
rnacentral:rRNA from 1 species